CUGCCGGGAAAGCGAUGGCGGCGGCAGCGGGAUCUGCUCCGACUCUGUGCACCUGAGAAAUGUCCCGGAGGUGAGCCCAGAGCUGGCCCUGAGGUGGCCCUGAGAAGAAGUGGAAGGCAGAGGUGGUGCUGAGGCAGGAGAGCCCCGUGCUGGGGAAGAGGCUGAUCUGGGAGUGCCCAGCAGCGAGAAGGUGCUGUGUGCAUGCCCUGUGUGCCAGGAUUUGUCCUUCCCAAAGCUUGGGCGGAUGGAGGAGGAGGCUGUGAGGAAGAGGAAGAUUCCGCAGGCC